UAAGGCAUACCGGAGAUAAAGAAACAAAUACGGUUAUACCAAAACACAAACACCAUGGGAAAAGUUCGGCAACAAACCCAAAGAAGCCUUCAAAUUUCACCAACAAGUCGAAAGAAGGGCAAAACAAUCUGAAAAAUCUCAAGGGGAGGUUUUAGCCA